UCGGGAAUUUUGGGCAAUGGGCGAAAGCCUGACCCAGCAACGCCGCGUGAGGGAUGAAGUAUUUCGGUAUGUAAACCUCGAAAGAAUGGGAAGAAUAAAUGACGGCACCAUUUAUAAGCUCCGGCUAACUACGUGCCAGCAGCCGCGGUAAUACGUAGGGAGCAAGCGUUGUUCGGAUUUACUGGGCGUAAAGGGCGCGUAGGCGGCGCGGUAAGUCACUUGUGAAAUCUCUGAGCUUAACUCAGAACGGCCAAGUGAUACUGCUGUGCUAGAGUGCGGAAGGGGCAACCGGAAUUCUUGGUGUAGCGGUGAAAUGCGUAGAUAUCAAGAGGAACACCUGAGGCGAAGGCGGGUUGCUGGGCCGACACUGACGCUGAUGCGCGAAAGCCAGGGGAGCAAACG
rnacentral:rRNA from 1 species